ensembl:snRNA U6 U6 spliceosomal RNA
GGGCUCUCUUCGGCAGCACAUAACAUUAAAAUUGGAAUGAUACAGAGAUUAGCAUGGCCCCUAUGCCAGGAUAACAUGCAAAUUCAUGAAGUGUUCCAUAUUUUU